AAGGACAUUGAAUGUUGCCAGAAAUUUCGAAGUGUGCAGGAGCCAUAGAUGGCAAACGUGCAAAUUAUGUCAUGCCAAUACUGGAAGUGAAUAUAUCAACAAACAAAAAAUUACUAUCGUCCUUAUGGCGAUUGCAGACGCAAAUUAUUGGUUACAAUAUGUACAUGUUGGUUGUCAGCUCCGCAUAUGAGUUGGAGGAGUUUUUAAGAAUACUUCAUUUCAUAAAGCGUUAACGGAAAAUAAAUUAAACGUUCCUCCCCCAGAAUGUCUUCCAGGAGAAGAAAAUCAGACUCCACUCUCACAAACUAAACUCCUCAACGUCGUGACGUCACACACGACAGCAACCUUACGUCACGGACCAAAGCCGACGGGUGGAACCGGACACUUCGGUUGACCCCUUUGAACACACAAUUUUUUGCGGCGGGGAAGAUAACUGUUUGCCAUUGUUUUCGUCGAUAUUGUAGAUCGUGCACUGUACUGUAGAAGUUACUCAGCCAUAGGCUUUGGGCUAUUCUGAUGUCAAAGAGACGAAUAUCGGAACGCAAAAUUGUUGGAGAGAGAAUAGGGAAUGUAAGAAACGUAAACAUUCUGAGAGGCGAGUGUAAUUAGUGACAUUCUGGUCACCUUAUUGAAUGUGCUUGAAAUAGAAGUGUACACCGCAUUAAUGACAUUACUGGUGAAAAUAGAAACAUAUCACAAAUCCAGUACCACACCAGAAUGACUACAGGAUUGCAAUACCAAAUUUUCUCUACCACCACCCUAUAUUUUAUGGGAUGGUUACGAAUGAGAGGCCAUGGCCAAAACUCAAGAUCAUUAUUUGAUAUUUUACCAUCUGUGCCAAAUUAAUGUGUCUGGUAAUAUAUUAAUGUUAUGACACUGUCAACAGUAGUAUCAAAGAUACACUUUCAAAAACUGAAAUGGUUCACACUGCACUGUGAAAACCUGCUGUCAUAAAAUGUUUAUUGAAGUGGAUGACACUUGUCUCUCGUGUGUUGGUGCUACUGUUGUAACGAAUGUGUUCAA